rnacentral:rRNA from 1 species
GAUGAACGCUGGCGGCGUGCCUAAUACAUGCAAGUCGAGCGAACAGACGAGGAGCUUGCUCCUCUGACGUUAGCGGCGGACGGGUGAGUAACACGUGGAUAACCUACCUAUAAGACUGGGAUAACUUCGGGAAACCGGAGCUAAUACCGGAUAAUAUAUUGAACCGCAUGGUUCAAUAGUGAAAGACGGUUUUGCUGUCACUUAUAGAUGGAUCCGCGCCGCAUUAGCUAGUUGGUAAGGUAACGGCUUACCAAGGCAACGAUGCGUAGCCGACCUGAGAGGCUGAUCGGCCACACUGGAACUGAGACACGGUCCAGACUCCUACGGGAGGCAGCAGUAGGGAAUCUUCCGCAAUGGGCGGAAGGUUGACGGAGAAACGCCGCGUGAGUGAUGAAGGUCUUCGGAUCGUAAAACUCUGUUAUUAGGGAAGAACAAAUGUGUAAGUAACUAUGCACGUCUUGACGGUACCUAAUCAGAAAGCCACGGCUAACUACGUG